UACGGGGGGGGCAAGCGUUGUUCGGAAUUACUGGGCGUAAAGGGCUCGUAGGCGGCCAACUAAGUCGGACGUGAAAUCCCUCGGCUCAACCGGGGAACUGCGUCCGAUACUGGAUGGCUUGAGUUCGGGAGAGGGAUGCGGAAUUCCUGGUGUAGCGGUGAAAUGCGCAGAUAUCAGGAGGAACACCGGUGGCGAAGGCGGGACUCUGGGCCGAUACUGACGCUGAGGAGCGAAAGCGUGGGGAGCAAACAGG
rnacentral:rRNA from 1 species